AAGAAGGAGGGGACGAUUUUUGUAGCCGGCUGUAUAGGAAGAUGCUGUUUAGGGGGAAAAGGAAGGACUCUUGGGUGCAUUUCGUAGGCUUUACAGCGAUAUAAAGUGCACCUCCCGCUUGCCUCGUGCUGUUGGUGUUGGGAUUUUAAACCUCCACUUGCGUACAGGCUGUUUCAAGCGCUUCUGUUAGCUAGGGGGGAGAGGCGGUGCGUGUUGCAAAGUCUACUCUAAACCAUUCUGCAUUGCAAAAAUUUAGAUUUCUUCCCCACUUUCUUCUUUUUUCAGCCGGCACAUGUAAUAUCAGCAGAGGAAAAAAGUAAAAUCCUCCCUUCCAACCCCGAUGAGAGAUAGCGUGCAUUGAAUUUACUAUCAAGGACUUCACAGGUGGAGCGGAGGUGGAGCGUUGAUUUGGGGGGACAGGGCACCUCCAUACCGGGAUCAUGAGGAACGACCUGUCUGUGGCUUUUUCCGGAUCCAGCGGGGCAGGCAGCGUCUUAAGGAGCAGCGAGCCAGCCUCUCUGUCUCCGGUGAUGUCCCAGGCCGCCUGCUUGCUGGAGGAAGCUGCAGAUCUAUUGGUGGUGCACAUGGACUUCUCUGCUGCUGUAGACCGGUGUGAGAAAGGCUGCGAAAGCCUCCUGGGUGAUCUGGAGAAUGAAGACUCUGCCAGCUCUGAAGAACUGAGAUGCUCCUUGUGCAUUGUGGGAAUCCAGGCCCUAGCUGAAAUGAACAGGUGGAGAGAAGUCCUCCCCUGGGUCCUCCAGUACUACCAAGUUCCUGCACACUUGCCUCCAAAAGUUCUUGAGCUGUGCAUCCUCCUCCAUAGCAAAGUGAAAGAGCCUCAUGUGAUGCGGGAUGUUGGGAGUGAUUGGUUACGUGCCUCAGCCAAUCAGCACUUGCCUGCUUACGGCCUCUUGGUUCAACUGCAUCUCUUCCACAUUCUCUUGCCACUCGGGCACUUUGCCGAGGCGCAGGAUCUGCUCGAAGGCUGUAAAGCAUUAAGCAAGGAAAAGUGGUUGGAGGCACAGAGGACAAUUAAAGAGAAGAGGCAGCAGUGGUCGCAGCAGUUGAGUGAACACCCAGAUCCCAAGGAGCAGGCAGGAAUGGCAUGGAAGACUCAGCUGGGUUUGGUGUCCCAGAAGGUGUUGACCAUCUUGGCGCAGCUGGGCAGACUACUGGGGUCCUUCGCCAGCCAGUUGGGCUCCAUCCCCUAUAAAAAGGCUCUCUUGGCUGCUUUCAUGUUGUUUCUCAUUGUUGUGAAACUUGAUCCAGCGUCUCCCACUUCCCUGCCCUUCCUCUACAGGCUCACCCAGCUAUUCCAUCAGGCCCGCUCAGCAGUGUCUCCCGCACACAACAGUGCCUCUUACCUCAGUGAUUAAACCCUGCUUCCUGAACGACAGAAAAGAGCUGGUUUGAGCAAUCCUGUCAGUGUGAGGCGGGAAGAUUACAAGCAUUACGGAAGCUCCUUCAAGUCUUUAAGAAUGUCAUCUGAUGGUGUAGCUGGCCUGAAGACAAUCUUCAGUGAUUUUUCCCCCUCCAAAUUGUACAUCACUUGAGGAGUCUAUGCUGUAACCCACGAGUUCAUCGUGGGCCUUCUAAAAUCUGUGUACUCUUCGAACACCCUACUUUGAAGCAUCUUCUCUUGAGAGCAGUGUUUUUCUCUCAAAUCUCUUUAAGGUCAAGAACAAGUUUCCUCUGCCCGCACUCCAUGUUUGGUUUAAUCCCAUCUCUUGGGAGACACCUCUGUCACUUUAUAGUUUUGUGACUUCUCCUAGUGGUGAGCUGGGAAACUUGUACUGUCCUUUCAAGAGUCGUGAGCUGUUUUGCUCCCUGGGGAAAUGAGCCUUGGGAACUGUCAGAUAUUUUCAGUCUCUCACUUUGGGUGAACAUCAAGCAAAGCAAGGUGUGUUUCGCCACGCUUUGAACAUUAAGAUUAUUAAGGUUGCCAAAAAACAUUUCUGCCACAGCUCCUGUGCCUUUAACAGUCUGCAGGUGUUAAGUAGGAAUUCAGCAGCUAGUCAUUUCAUGAAACAGAGCUGAUAAAAAUAAAAGAAUAAUCUUCAUCUGCUUUGUUUUUCUAUUGGUCCUACCAGGCACUUGAAGGGCACAAUAUUGCCAGAAAGAAAAGGUGACAGAUUGCCAGAAAGAAAAGGUGACACAUUGGUGGCCCUCCAUAAAUGAAUAACAAUAAAACCAGGUUGAUAAGAGGAACUAUUUUUCAUUUUGGGGGAAGGAUUUGUAAAGAUGUUAGUAUUUUUAAAUAGACAUUUUAAAGUAGUUAUUGCAACUCUCCAUUUAAUCUGUACAGUAAAGACAUUUUAUUUUUGAA